UAGACCACACCCCUUCUCAUUACAGAGAUGCACAUCACCUAAUAUGCUUAAUUGGUAGUAGGCUUUCGAGCCUAUACAGCUUGGAGUAAGACAACAUGCAUAAAGAGGAUGAUGUGGUCAAAAUACUCAUUUGCCUAAUAAUUCUGCACACAGUGUAAUGAUCAGGAGAAACUAUAUUAUAUGAAAUGUCUGGGGCUUAUUAUAACUGUAGACAACAUUAUAAGGUUCGUCAUCCCACAGCUUAACUCAUGCAUUAAAUGUGUACAGCCUUAACCCCUUAAGGACACAUAAAAUGUCUGACAUGUCAUGAUUCCCAAACGUUUGGUCCUUAAGGGGUUAAAGGAACACUAUUACUGUUAGGAAUACAAAACCGUAUUCCCAACAAUACAGUGUCUCUCUGACUUUGCAGGUGUUCCCCCACCUCAGUCAUGAAAAGGUCAAAAACCCUUUCAUUCACUUACCAGAUUCCAGCACUGAUGUCUCUUGGCAAUGUAUCAGGAACCACCUCCUGUGAUGUUGGCGAUUGGACCUGUGGUUUUUCAUGACACUUGAUGUCCUCAUGCAAAGCGUUAUGGCGUCCAGCGUUGUUUCACAGAGUAAAACUCAGUGAACCACCAGAAAGCAUCUCUAGUGGCUGUCUGGAAGACUGCCACUAGAGAUCAAGUUAACCCUGCAAUAUAGUUAUUGCAAUUUCUCAGGAACUAAAAUAAUUCACAUUGCAGGGUUAUGGGGAAAGAGGCACUGCACCCAGACCACUUAAAUGAGCUGAAGUGGCAUGGGUGCCUGUUGUGUUCCUUUAAUUUAGUGGAAAAAGGGUCAGGUCCUGGAUAUACCUAGCUUGACUUACCCAGAAAACUUUCCAGCAUUGAGAACUAUAUGCAGAGUAUUCCAGGGGCAAUCUGGAAUAUGUAAAUGAAUGAAAUCAUGAGGCACUCUUCUAUAUGUAACAAUUUCUCACUUAGAAAGUUAACACAAUAGUCUGAAGUGAUUGUCCGUUACUUCUAACUUGGACUGAGAGCAAUAGCUGCAAUGUAAACACCUGCAAGUAUGAUCUUCAUCACAGUGUACUAAAACAUUUUACAUACAUACACACACACAACUUUGCUGUGUGUCUUACAUUAAAAACUAAUAGGUUUUACUUUUUUAUGUAGAAAACACAUUUUUAAAUUCACUAAUGGAAAGCCGAGAUAACCAGGACAUGGCUAAAACAUUUACUUAGGCCAAAGUACGCCCCAAAGCAACACACAACACAAUUAAUACAACUGCAAAUGAGCAUGAAACACAUUGCUGAGCAAUGGCGGUUAAGGGGCCUAUUUAGUAAAAGUGCUUCAGUUCAUGUGUGGUGUUCAUAGACCUUUACAAAACACCUGUAAGUUUGUGAAACUGGUGCUGUUUCUGUAGAUGUGAGGUAGUAUGUAAGAUGUGUCCUUGUUUUGCUACUCAGGUACAAUUCUUGCGUUAAUCUCUAUAUCUAAACGUAUAUAGAAUGCCAUACGUGCCCCUGGCUCUCGGGGAUUAUAGGUGCAUUAUUUCUGCACCGUUUUACCCUUCCACUGCCAGAGAUCUGCAGAGCAAUUUACUCUGGAAGUGGGUGGGUUAAAGGCCUUGUUCUUUUUACCCUUGUGACACCAAAAUAAUGUUCUGUGCCUUUUAUUUUUGUUAAUCCUGUAACAUUAAACUCUGUUACCAAGUAAAUAA